UACGAAGGGGGCUAGCGUUGUUCGGAAUUACUGGGCGUAAAGCGCACGUAGGCGGAUCGAUCAGUCAGGGGUGAAAUCCCAGGGCUCAACCCUGGAACUGCCUUUGAUACUGUCGAUCUGGAGUAUGGAAGAGGUGAGUGGAAUUCCGAGUGUAGAGGUGAAAUUCGUAGAUAUUCGGAAGAACACCAGUGGCGAAGGCGGCUCACUGGACGACUGUUGACGCUGAGGAGCGAAAGCAUGGGGAGCGAACAGG
rnacentral:rRNA from 1 species